CUAAGCUGUCGUUCCACUGUGAUGACACAGUGCUCAGCAAGCUGGACAGCCAUGACAUUAGUCUGAAGAGCACGCAGUAUCCUACGCACGCAAAGAAAUGCUCCUGAAGAAAUUAAUUUGUAAUACCUUUGAUCAUAUCCUAAACCACAGCUGCAGAUAGGCUAAAUACCUUAUUCUCAUUAAGUCCCCAUUUCACGUGCUGGAAUCUCAGUGGCCUGGACUACUAAAUUCCAUGUGAUGCUUCCCAUGAAGUUUGUCAGUGCUCUUCUCUGAGCUCAGUCCCAUUUAAGCACACAAGAGGAAAGUCUGCAUCUUCCCGAGGAACUGGGGAUUGCUGUGUUACCACGGCAGUGGGCUUGUGCUGGAGCUGGGGACGGUUUGCGCUUGCCUGGAUGGAAAAUACCGUCAGAAUGCAAAGGUUCACAGCCUCUGCAAUGCUCUGAGGCAGACACCGAGAGAAGGAGUGUUCCAGUCCUCGGCUCCCAAAAUCCUGAGCCUCCAGAGCUCUGUGUGGCGCCUACUCACAGUCCCCACUGCCAGAGGUGAAAGCAAGAGGAAGGAAAUGCUGCUCUUGGAGACCACCAAAGGGGAGAGAAGAUGGGCCCAUUCUGCUGCAGCCACCCAACAAGGCUGUGAAUUUGGGUUAGAGGCAGG
rnacentral:lncRNA from 1 species